UACGUAGGGGGCAAGCGUUGUCCGGAAUCAUUGGGCGUAAAGCGCGUGUAGGCGGCUCGGUAAGUCUGCUCUGAAAGCCCGGGGCUCAACCCUGGGAGGCGGGUGGAUACUGCUGAGCUCGAGUCCGGAAGAGGCGAGUGGAAUUCCUGGUGUAGUGGUGAAAUGCGCAGAUAUCAGGAAGAACACCAGCGGCGAAGGCGGCACUCUGGGCCGGAACUGACGCUGAGGAGCGAAAGCGUGGGUAGCAAACAGG
rnacentral:rRNA from 1 species